rnacentral:tRNA from 1 species
UGGGAUAGAGCUUAGUGGUGAGAGCACCUGGCUGGCUCGCAGAGGCCCUGGGUUCAAGCCCAGUACUACAA